GAACUACACAAAAUUUCAACCUC
rnacentral:siRNA from 1 species